AUGGAGCAGACAGAGAGACAAACGGGGGGCAGACUGAGGGACAUCUGUGAGAGGAGAAAGAGGUACGAGGACGCGGCUACAGCAUCCAUGGUGACCACCAAACACAUCUACAAUAUCAACCGCAAGGCCAUCGUCAAGACACACAUGUCUGAGCUGAGGUACGUGGAGUUUGCUGAGGGGUUGGCCAUGAACCUGACAUCGCUAAGGAAACGGUCGGCUGCGUUGUUACGGAAACUGAAGGAGCAGCAAAGCCACGUCCAGAAACAGCUAGAGGACAUGUACCGGCAAGAGGUGGACGUUGAGAUCAAACUGCGCUCCUGUCAGGGAUCAUGCAACAGUUCCAUUGCUUUCCGUUUCGACCACGACGGCUACAGAUCGCUAGACAAUCAGAUGACCCUAUUCAGUAAGACUGCCAAGAAUCACGAGAGCUCUCGUCUUAAUAAUAAGGACAUCGCUAAGAUCAAACUACAGCCAGUGGAUGUCGGUCCCCCGCCGUCGACCGCCUAUAAAACCAUCCCAAUGGUCCAGAAGGAACUCCUGACUCAGUUUGAGGAUCUAGAACAGAACCACGUGGUUCUAGAAGAGGUUCUAGAAGAAGCGGAAUGCCUGGGUUCUGAAAGGGAGAGGGGAAAAGGAGAAGAAGGCGUUCUAGAAUGUAACUAAUGAAGUUCUCUGUGAAAUCUGAUAGAUAUGUUAUUAUGAACAUGUUGGGUCGUAAUUUGAACCUAUAAAGGACUGCUGUUUUAUUAACAUAAACUAUCAUUAUAUACAGUCAUAGCCACGGGAAUUAGGGGUGUUGAGGGUGUUGAGGGUGCCUCACUGAGGUUCGACUACUGGCUCCUAAGACAUUGUAUCUCAGUACAAGAGGCAUCACUGCAGACACCCUGGUUCGAAUCCAGGCUGUGAUUUGGAGUCCCAUAGGGACAAGUGGCCCAGCGUUGUCCGGGAUAGGCCGUCGUUGUAAAUAAGAAUUUGUUCUUUACUGACUUGCCCUGUUAAUAAAUAAAACAAAUAUUACUCUUGACAGAGAGGAUAGAAAUAGGCAUUAGUGUUGGAAGAAAACAUUCUGUCAGCGCUACCUUGACGAAGAGAUUCUCGGCAGCACAACCCCCCCCCCAGCACUAAACAACUUCCUGCAUUGUUGAAUACUCCUUUCUUAUUGGCUAGAAAGGCAUUGUAGAAUGUACAUUAAACCAAAAAAUUACGGGACAGUUGAAAAUUAUAUCGGGACAACUUGUAGUUAUGACGUAAUUAUGCACUUUGCACACGCAGACCGUACUUCCUACAAAGUUACAGAAAGAUAUACCAACAACCACACAAACUGAACUUGGAUACAUUGUAAACGCAGGUCCAACGAGGAACUAAACUGUAGCAUCGUGUAGCUAGCUAGCAUUUUUUAGUUGUUUCUAGUUUAGUGGCGCUAUGCUGUCAAAUCCUCCCUCAUGUUUCUAGUUUAGUGGUGCUAUGCUGUCAAAUCCUCCCUCAUGUUUCUAGUUUAGUGGUGCUAUGCUGUCAAAUCCUCCCUCGUGUUUCUAGUUUAGUGGUGCUAUGCUGUCCUCCUCCCUCAUGUUUCUAGUUUAGUGGUGCUAUGCUGUCAAAUCCUCCCUCGUGUUUCUAGUUUAGUGGUGCUAUGCUGUCAAAUCCUCCCUCAUGUUUCUAGUUUAGUGGUGCUAUGCUGUUAAAUCCUCCCUCAUGUUUCUAGUUUAGUGUUGCUAUGCUGUCAAAUCCUCCCUCAUGUUUCUAGUUUAGUGGUGCUAUGCUGUCAAAUCCUCCCUCAUGGUUCUAGUUUAGUGGUGCUAUGCUGUCAAAUCCUCCCUCAUGUUUCUAGUUUAGUGGCGCUAUGCUGUCAAAUCCUCCCUCAUGUUUCUAGUUUCACCAGCUGAUUUCAGCUACUGAUAUUUUUUUAAUUUGAUUGUCAUAUUGGCAGGUUUGCUAGCAACAAGCUAUCUAGCUAGCUUCUAGCCUAGUGUUUUUAUAUGCAAUGUGUUCUCCUCGUAAUGAACAGUCAGUGUCGACAAGUGUCCUGAUCAGAUGGCAAAAUCAGGCAUCAUCAGCUCAUUGUUAUGGAUGUUGCCAAAUGUACAGGAUGUCAACAGAAAACAGCUACAUUGCUGUUAUUCUGGCUGCAGAGAUUGUGACUGUGUUAGCCAUAGCUAGCUGGCUGGCUAGCUAGCAAGCAAGGGAUAAGUACGUUGCCAGCAAACACAGCAACAGAGCGUAAAGAACGAACGACUGGGUCGGCAUCCGUAAAUAUCAAACUAAUCGAACGCACGACUGGGUCGGCAUCCGUAAAUAUCAAACUAACGGAACGAACGACUGGGUCGGCAUCCGUAAAUAUCAAACUAAUCGAACGAACGACUGGCAACUAAAAUAUGAUCAAGCAUGAAUUUGUGUAUAUAAAUGAAAAUAUUUUAGAAAAUGUUUUAUUUCCAAAUGGAAUGGCCCAUUUACAUGAACUGUCUCUUCUGUGUAUAAACAUUGACAUAAUGUCACGUCCUGACCAGUAUAAAGGCUAAUUGUCAUUGUAGUUUGGUCAGGACGUGGCAGAGGGUAUUCGUUUUAUGUGGUUCUGGGGUGGUGUGUUUGUUGAAGGGGCAUUUGAUUUAAGUAUUCCGGGGGUUUUUGGGCACUGUUUGAUUUUCAUGUAAUUCUAUGUUGAGUCUAGUGUGUCUAUUUCUAUGUUUGGGUUAAUUGGGGUUGGGACUCUCAAUUGAAGGCAGGUGUUGUCUAUUUGCCUUUGAUUGAGAGUCCCAUAUAUUAGGGUGUGUUUGUCAUUUGUGGGAGAUUGUUCCGUGUUUAGCCUUGUGCCUUGCCAGACUGUUUUGUUGAUCGUUCGUUCUUUUUUUUUGUUAUUUUUGUGUUCAUUUUGAAUUUAUUAAAACGUCAAGAUGAGCAUACACAUACCUGCUGCGUUUUGGUCCUCCAUUUCCCGACGACAACUGUGACACAUAAGGAAUAUUUCAAGUAGAUUCUAUUUCUAUAUAUUCUGUAUAUCGUAACAUUGUUGUUAUUUUUACAUUUUAAAGGUCAGUUAAUACCAUCCAUAUUCCAGGUAAUGAUCUGAUGGCUGUGGGUAGAUACAAUGCUUUUUUUAAAAUGUUCUUUUUUUAAAUGUAUCCUUUUAUUUAACAGGGCAAGUCGGUUAAGAACAAAUUCUUAUUUACAAUGACGGCCUACAAAAAAGGCAAAAGGUUUCCUGCGGGGACAGGUGGCUGGGAUUAAAGAUAAAUACUAGAUCAAAUAAAAAUGUAGGACAAAACACACAUCACGACAAGAGAGACAACACAACACUACAUAAAGACAACAACACAACAUGGUAGCAACACCACAUGACAACAACAUGGUAGCAACACAACAUGGUAGCAACACAACAUGGUAGCAACACAACAUGGUAGCAACACAACAUGACAACACAGCAUGGUAGCAACACAACAUGGUAGCAGCACUAAACACGGUACAAACAUUAUUGGGCGCAGACAACAGCACAAAGGGCAAGAAGGUAGAGACAACAAUACAUCACACAAAGCAGCCACAACUGUCAGUAAGAGUGUCCAUGUUUGAGUCUUUGAAUAAAGAGAUGGAGAUAAAACUGUCAAGUUUUGAGUGUUUUGUUGCAGCUCGUUCCAGUCGCCGGCUGCAGCGAACUGAAAAGAGGAGCGACCCAGGGAUGUGUGUAUUUUGGGGACCUUUAACAGAAUGUGGGACCGGCAGAACGGGUGUUGAAUGUGGAGGAUGAGGGCUGCAGUAGAUAUCUCAGAUAGGGGGGAGUGAACGGGUGCUGUAUGUGGAGGAUGAGGGCUGCAGUAGAUAUCUCAGAUAGGGGGGAGUGAACGGGUGUUGUAUGUGGAGGAUGAGGGCUGCAGUAGAUAUCUCAGAUAGGGGGGAGUGAGGCCUAAGAGGGUUUUAUAAAUAAGCAUCAACCAGUGGGUCUUGCGACGGGUAAACAGAGAUUACCAGUUUACAGAGAAGUAUAGAGUACAGUGAUUUGUCCUAUAAGGAGCAUUGGUGGAAAAUCUAAUGGCCGAAUGGUAAAGAACAUCUAGCCGCUCGAGAGCACCCUUACCUGCCGAUCUAUAAAUUAUGCCUCCGUAAUCUAAUGUAGGUAGGACGGUCUAAAUGAUGACGAUCAAACACAUGACAUAGGUUCCUCAAUGUGUUUUUAUUGAGUAUAGUAAGGCACAGUCCUCUGCUAAUAUCUAUUUGUAUACUUUAUAUACUUCUACAUAUACUUGUCGCAAAGCCAAACACACACACACACACACACACACACACACACACACACACACACACACACACACACACACACACACACACACACACACACACACACACACACACACACACACACACACACACACACACACACACAGAAGAACAAAACAUGCUGAUCCCGUGCCGCUCAGUUGGUAGGGAGCGGCUCAGUCGGUAGGGAGCGGUUCAGUCGGUAGGGAGCGGCUCAGUCGGUAGGGAGCGGUUCAGUCGGUAGGGAGCGGUUCAGUCGGUAGGGAGCGGUUCAGUCGGUAGGGGGCNNNNNNNNNNNNNNNNNNNNNNNNNNNNNNNNNNNNNNNNNNNNNNNNNNNNNNNNNNNNNNNNNNNNNNNNNNNNNNNNNNNNNNNNNNNNNNNNNNNNAACCCUAGUCCCUCCAACAUAUUGGUUCCCCCCAACCCUAGUCCCUCCAACAUAUUGGUUCCCACCAACCCUAGUCCCUCCAACAUAUUGGUUCCCACCAACCCUAG
rnacentral:lncRNA from 8 species